AGUCAAUAGAUACCCUGGUAGUCCUAGCCGUAAACGAUACUCGCUAGGUGUCGGCCACGGUGCGACCGUUGUCGGUGCCGUAGGGAAAGCCGUGAAGCGAGCCACCUGGGAAGUACGGCCGCAAGGCUGAAACUUAAAGGAAUUGGCGGGGGAGCACCACAACGGGUGGAGCUUGCGGUUUAAAUUGGAUUCAACGCCGGAAAUCUUACCGGGACCGACAGCGAUAUGAAGGCCAAGCUGAAGACUUUGCCGGAUUAGCUGAGAGGUGGUGCAUGGCCGUCGUCAGUUCGUACUGUGAAGCAUCCUGUUAAGUCAGGCAACGAGCGAGACCCAGCCCACAGUUGCCAGCGUACUCUCCGGAGUGACGGGUACACUGUGGGGACCGCGCUGCUAAAGCGGAGAAGGAAUGGGCAACGGUAGGUCAGUAUGCCCCGAAUAUCCCGGGCUACACGCGAGCUACAAUGGUUGGAAC
rnacentral:rRNA from 1 species